GGAUCUUUAGCUCAAAUGGUAGAACACUUGAGAGUAUGUGCAACCUAGCUAGUACAUCUCAAGAGAUGGUGGUUCAAAUCCACCAAGAUCGU